rnacentral:rRNA from 1 species
UACGUAGGGGGCAAGCGUUGUUCGGAAUUAUUGGGCGUAAAGGGUGCGUAGGCGGUUUGGUAAGUCUGAUGUGAAAUCUAUGGGCUCAACUCAUAGUCUGCAUCGGAAACUGCCGGGCUUGAGUGUGGGAGAGGUGAGUGGAAUUCCUGGUGUAGCGGUGAAAUGCGUAGAUAUCAGGAGGAACACCGGUGGCGAAGGCGGGUCUCUGGGCCGAUACUGACGCUGAGGAGCGAAAGCAUGGGUAGCGAACAGG